GAUCCCCUCUCAUCGCCCAAACCCUAACUCCUAUCCCCUUCCUCCCCUUGUCUCCCUCUCCACGAUCCAGAUCGAGAACGCCGGCUCCCUUUCUCCCUCGCCAGCAGGUCCCUCCACCGCCGCCCCUCCAACCCCAGCCCCGGCCAUCCUCUCUUCCGCCACCCUCUCAUGUCCCAGUCGCUCGCCUCUGUCCUCAUGCAGCCGAUCGAGCGUGCCGCCCAACCUCACCAGCGACAUAGGCCCUGACGCCCAGCACCCACGGCGUCGCGGCUGGCCGGCUCGUCGGCGUGCGCAUGCUUCAAUGCGCGCUGCUCAAUCGAGUUGGCCGGACCGCAGCGGCGAGUGAUCUAGGGUUUUGGUCACUUUGCCCCACGCCGGCCACGACUCUCUGGCAACCAGGACGGCGACGACAUCGAUGGGAUCCUCGAGCGGCUGUCGUCCACUUCACGUUGGAGGGAGGGGUCGGUCCUCUCCUCGGACAAGGGGAUGGCCGUGUUCGUCGUUCCCCACCCUGGCAGUCGAUCCCGGCCGCCGCUGCUUCACUCGCCCUCCUCCGCCGGCAUCUCCGCGAGGGCGCCCGAUGCCAGGUAGGCCAUGGACGCGCCGGACCUCAAGGUCGGCGCCCUGGCUGCUCCUGCUCCGGCUGAGCACACCCAGAACUGUAUUUAUAUAAGAAUAUUUUUGUGAGAUAUAUGUGUUAUUUCAACGCUCUUUUGUGUGGUUUAGGCAUUAUGUAAUUAACUUGUCAAAGAUUAGUAAUUGGGUAUGUCUAUGCCAUAUGCUCCCUGUUGUUGGGACAUUAUGAUAUGCCAUUUUUAUUGUCAUGUUAGCCUGGUCAACCUUAUCAUCUGAACUGUCGUACUAGAUGGUUUCUAGGUGUAUAGAUGCACCCAAUAGCUAGUAUAUAAUGUUUAAUAUUUUUCGUGACUUUGCCAUGGAAAGUUAGCGUCGGAAUUUUUUGGUUUAGUACAAUGCACAAAUGUUCACAUUGCCUCAAGGGUGCAUAUUUUACUGUAUCAGAACAACUGUAUGCUUCACUCAUUGAUGCUACUACAGAUAAUAUAUUUGAGUAUGCGAAUGUCGGAGGGGUCGUGCCUGAGGAGACCGAGCUCGCCAUGCUGCUCCUUUUCAUUGCCAACAAGGGAAGGGCCGACGAGGAGAACAGGGUCCUUGCACCAACAGGUAACUGGCGCAGCCGUUGUAACUUGAGACGCUGGUCUGGAGGAAGGAUCAUGAGGAGAACAACUACACAAUGUUGUGGAUGAACAGGAUGAUGGGAGGGUGAAUCAAAUCCAGGAGCACAUCAACUAUGAGGUUUGCCGACACGACAAGUACCAUAUGUGUGUCUACUCGUCCAACCUGGAUGGAACGCUUCUUUGGAAUUCUUAAAGAGGAAGACAAUGGAGCUAUGAUGUUGUUGUGCAACAGGCUAUGUUUUUUGUAAUACCAUUUGUCUGGGCUAUGUAAUCUUAGUUUGUCUGUGCUAGGAUACUCAAAAAGCUAUUUGUGUAAUCUUAUUUUGUGUGUGCUGCGAUAUUCAAAAAGCUAUCUAUCUAAUUUAAAUAUGUGAUGUAUUCUU